GCAAAUUGACAAAGACAGUAGAAAUUGAUGAGACUGAUAAUUCCAAUUCCAGUUUCAGUCAAACAUAUACAACCACAAAUGUUUUCUCCAUCAAAUUCCUUCAAGCUUAUCUUCUUCAAUCCAAGAAGAAACUCUACGAAAAGUCUCCCCCUUUAAUAAUGGGUUGUUUCAGCAGUAAACACCGGACAACUCAAAACGACGGCGGAGAAAGAUCAAAUCCGAUCAAUCCAGUUCAAACCCAUGUCGUUAAUCAAGUCCCUGAGCAUCGUGAACCUCAAAUCCCAACACCAUCGGUACCCAUCUCAGUUCGAGAUCCAGCGACGAUAUUAGGUAAACCAUUGGAAGACAUCAGGAGAUUCUACAGCUUGGGGAAAGAAUUAGGUCGAGGUCAAUUUGGGAUUACGUAUAUGUGUAAAGAGAUUGGGACUGGGAACAAUUACGCUUGUAAAUCGAUUCUCAAGAGGACGCUAAUUAGUGAGAGAGAAGAUGUGAAGACAGAGAUUCUUAAGAGGAAGCUAGUUAAUAAGUAUGAUAAAGAAAAUUUGAAGAGAGAGAUUCAGAUAAUGCAGCAUUUGUCUGGACAACCAAACAUUGUUGAGAUUAAAGGUGCUUAUGAGGAUAGACAGUCUGUGCAUUUGGUAAUGGAGUUGUGUGCUGGUGGUGAGUUGUUUGAUAGGAUUAUAGCUCAAGGUCAUUACUCUGAGAGAGCUGCUGCUGGUAUCAUUAGGUCUAUUGUCAAUGUUGUUCAGAUUUGUCAUUUGAAGGGUGUGAUUCAUCGAGAUCUCAAGCCUGAGAAUUUCUUGUUCUCGAGUAAAGAGGAGAAUGCAAUGCUUAAAGUAACCGAUUUCGGGUUGUCCGCCUUCAUCGAAGAAGGAAAAGUUUACCAGGAUGUAGUUGGGAGCCGUUACUACGUUGCUCCUGAAGUAUUAAGGCGAAGUUACGGGAAAGAAAUCGAUAUUUGGAGUGCAGGUGUCAUUUUAUACAUCCUACUCAGCGGUUUACCUCCUUUUUGGGCUGACAAUGAGGAUGGAAUAUUCGUUGAGAUUCUAAAAGGCGAAAUUGAUGUUGAAAGCCAACCAUGGCCUUCUAUAUCUGAGAGCGCGAAAGAUCUUGUUAGAAAGAUGCUAACCAAAGACCCGAAGAGACGAAUCACGGCUGCACAGGUUCUUGAACAUCCUUGGAUCAAAGGGGGAGAAGCACCGGACAAGCCUAUUGAUAGCACUGUGUUAUCCCGUAUGAAGCAAUUCCGAGCAAUGAACAAGCUUAAGAAGCUAGCUCUAAAGAUUAGCGCGGAGAGUCUAUCAGAAGAGGAGAUCAAAGGUCUUAAAACCAUGUUUGCGAAUAUGGAUACCAAUAGAAGCGGGACAAUCACUUAUGAACAACUCAAAACUGGGCUAAGUAGACUUAGGUAUAGAUUCUCUGAAACUGAAGUUAAGCAACUCAUGGAAGCGGCUGAUGUGGAUGGUAAUGGAACAAUUGACUACUAUGAGUUUAUCUCUGCGACAAUGCAUAGAUACAAAUUAGAUCGAGAUGAGCAUGUACACAAAGCAUUCCAACACUUUGAUAAAGACAACAAUGGGCACAUAACUAGGGCUGAGUUGGAAAGUGUCAUGAAGGAAUAUGGAAUGGGAGAUGAAGCUAGCAUCAAAGAAGUUAUAUCCGAAGUUGAUACCGACAAUGAUGGAAAAAUAAACUUUGAGGAAUUUCGUGCGAUGAUGAGAUGCGGCACCACACAACCAAAAGGGAAAAUGUUUCCAUUCCACUGAUCAAGACUACAUAGAUCCCAACAGCUUAUCAACGGAAAGUAAUUCUUAAACCCGGAGUACAAGAGCAAACCCAGGAAAAACCGAGGAACUAUGUUACAGGAUGGUAAAAUAACCUUUGAGGAAUUUCGUGCGAUGAUGAGAUGUGGCACGCACCACACAACCAAAAGGGAAACUGUUUCUAUUCCACUGAUCAAGACUACAUAGAUCCCAACAGCUUAUCAAGGGAAAGUAAUUCUUAAACCCGGAGUACAAGAGCUAAACCAUGAAAAAGCGAGGUGAGAGUAGUCUCAGAAUGUUCUUUUUUUUUCUUCUGUGUUUGAAUGUGAUCCUGUGAGGAUUAGUUUAAUAGUCAUUCACCAGAACAACUUUAUUUAUCCUUCUCCUUAGUUAGUUGAAACUGAGUUUGAGAUACUGUCAUGUCUUAGCUCUUCUUCUUCAUCAUCUCUCUCUUUCUUUCUCUUUCAGUGACUUGCUCGAGAAUUGAUCUUGUCACAGGUUAGCACUUAUUGUGCCUUUGCAACCAGACAAGCUACAAGAGGUUGGCGUCUUAGCUCUUUGUAAGUUGUAACAAAAACAAAUCUACUCUUUCUUUUUGUAACUUUCUUGAGAAUCUUGUAAGUCAGACUUUUUCAUACAAAACGCUUAAUACUGUUAAGCAA